UUGGAAGUGAUGACUAUUUCCCCAGAUGAUCGAAGUUGAUUAUACUGAGCGCAAUUAUUAAAUUCUCUUUUAUCUAGAGAAUCCAAGCCAGAAAUCUGAUCCAA